rnacentral:rRNA from 1 species
UACAGAGGUGGCAAGCGUUGUUCGGAAUUACUGGGCGUAAAGGGCGCGUAGGCGGCCCACUAAGUCAGACGUGAAAUCCCCCGGCUUAACCUGGGAACUGCGUCUGAUACUGGAGGGCUUGAGUAUGGGAGAGGGAUGUAGAAUUCCAGGUGUAGCGGUGAAAUGCGUAGAUAUCUGGAGGAAUACCGGUGGCGAAGGCGGCAUCCUGGACCAUAACUGACGCUGAGGCGCGAAAGCUAGGGGAGCAAACGGG